rnacentral:tRNA from 1 species
UGCGGGGUCGUCUAAUGGUAGGACACAGCGCUCUGGACGCUGGUAUCUAGGUUCGAAUCCUAGCCCCGCAG